AAACGCUCAGGACCCGAAAAAAGCAGCCGGUUCUCUACUGAAAGCCGCCGAAUAUUAUGAACAGAAUCGAAAUUUAUUCCACGCUGCAAAGUAUGUGAAAAUUGGAAGAAAUUAGUGAAAUUUUGAGAAAUGCAAAAAAUUCAACAUUUUUUCGAAAUAAAAUUUUUUUUUCGAAAUUAAAAAAAAACUUUUCCAAAUUUUUUUUUUUCAAAUUUCAAUUUCAGAGCCCGCGAAGGAGCCGCAAUGUUGCUUCGUGACAUCAAAGAAUUUUCAGAAGCCGUCGUUUUAUUCGAAAAAGCAAUUAAUGGUUAUGCGGAGAGUGGAAGUCUCGAUACGGCGGCGAUGACUGUCGAAAAAGCUGCAGAUGUUCUGAAAAAUGAUAAUCCUAAGGAAGCACUUCAGG
rnacentral:sRNA from 1 species